UACGAAGGGUGCAAGCGUUACUCGGAAUUACUGGGCGUAAAGCGUGCGUAGGUGGUUUGUUAAGUCUGAUGUGAAAGCCCUGGGCUCAACCUGGGAAUUGCAUUGGAUACUGGCAGGCUAGAGUGCGGUAGAGGAUGGCGGAAUUCCCGGUGUAGCAGUGAAAUGCGUAGAGAUCGGGAGGAACACCGAUGGCGAAGGCAGGUCUCUGGGCCAUAACUGACGCUGAGAAGCGAAGGCAUGGGGAGCGAACAGG
rnacentral:rRNA from 1 species